GGGCUGCAGUAUAUUGACUGUACAAAGGUAGCAUAAUCAUUAGUCAUUUAAUUGGUGACUUGUAUGAAGGAUUGGAUGAGAUAUAAUCUGUCUCUUAAUUAUAAAGUAGAAUUUAAUUUUUUAAUUAAAAAGUUAAAAUAUAUUAAAAAGACGAGAAGACCCUAUAGAGUUUUAUAGAUUAAGAUAAUUAAGAUUAUUUAUAAAAUAAAAAUUGAAAUUAUUUUAUUUAUUGUGUUGGGGUGACAGAAAAAUAUAAAAAACUUUUUAUAUAGAAAAACAUUGAUAAAUGAUUAAAUGAUCCAAUAUUAUUGAUUAUAAGAAAAAAUUACCUUAGGGAUAACAGCGUAAUUUUUUUUUUUAGUUCACAUAAAAAAAAGAGUUUGCGACCUCGAUGUCGGAUUAAGAUAAAAUUUAAAUGUAGAAG
rnacentral:rRNA from 1 species